UGGGGAAUAUUGGACAAUGGGGGGAACCCUGAUCCAGCCAUGCCGCGUGUGUGAAGAAGGCCUUAUGGUUGUAAAGCACUUUAAGCGAGGAGGAGGGUACUGGUAUUAAUACUACCAGCUACUGGACGUUACUCGCAGAAUAAGCACCGGCUAACUCUGUGCCAGCAGCCGCGGUAAUACAGAGGGUGCGAGCGUUAAUCGGAUUUACUGGGCGUAAAGCGUGCGUAGGCGGCUAAUUGAGUCGGAUGUGAAAUCCCCGAGCUUAACUUGGGAAUUGCAUUCGAUACUGGUUAGCUAGAGUGUGGGAGAGAAUGGUAGAAUUCCAGGUGUAUCGGUGAAAUGCGUAGAGAUCUAGAGGAAUACCGAUGGCGAAGGCAGCCAUCUGGCCUAACACUGACGCUGAGGUACGAAAGCAUGGGGAGCAAACAGG
rnacentral:rRNA from 1 species